rnacentral:rRNA from 1 species
UGGUGGAGUGAUUUGUCUGGUUAAUUCCGUUAACGAACGAGACCUCGCCCUGUUAAAUACGCAUUUGCGAUAUCACGGUCUCGCAUUAUAAGGCUUCUUAGAGGGACUAUUGGUGCUUUAGCCGAUGGAAGUUCGAGGCAAUAACA